GCUUGUCUCAAAGAUUAAGCCAUGCAUGUCUAAGUAUAACUCUUUUACUUUGAAAACUGCGAACGGCUCAUUAUAUCAGCAAUAAUUUAUUUGAUGGUUCCUUACUACAUGGAUAACUGUAGUAAUUCUAGAGCUAAUACAUGCGUAAAGUCCCGACUCUCGCGGGGAGGGAUGUAUUUAUUAGAUAAAAAACCAAUGCGGGCUCUGUCCGGUUUUGUGGUGAAUCAUAGUAACUUUUCGAAUGGCAUGACUUCACGUCGGCCAUAUUUCAUUCAAAUUUCUGCCCUAUCAGCUUUCGACGGUAGUGUAGUGGACUACCGUGGCGUUAACGGGUAACGGAGAAUUAGGGUUCGAUUCCGGAGAGGGAGCCUGAGAAACGGCUACCACAUCCAAGGAAGGCAGCAGG
rnacentral:rRNA from 1 species